AACGAACGUUGGCGGCAGGCCUAAAACAUGCAAGUCGAACGCCCUAGCAAUAGGGAGUGGCGCACGGGUGAGUAACGCGUGGGAACGUGCCCUUCAGUACGGAACAACGUCGGGAAACUGACGCUAAUACCGUAUCAUAUCUCCGGAACAAAGCUUUAUCGCUGAGGGAUGGGCCCGCGUCGGGUGAGCUAGUUGGUGGGGUAAUGGCUCACCAAGGCUACGAUCAGUAGCUGGUCUGAGAGGAUGAUCAGCCACACUGGGACUGAGACACGGCCCAGACUCCUACGGGAGGCAGCAGUUAGGAAUAUUGGACAAUGGGCGAAAGCCUGAUCCAGCCAUGCCGCGUGAGUGAUGAAGGCCUUAGGGUUGUAAAGCACUUUCGUUGGGGAUGAUAAUGACCGUACCCAAAGAAGAAGCCACGGCUAAAUUCGUGCCAGCAGCCGCCGUAA
rnacentral:rRNA from 1 species